rnacentral:rRNA from 1 species
UACAGAGGUGGCAAGCGUUGUUCGGAAUUACUGGGCGUAAAGGGCGCGUAGGCGGCCCACUAAGUCAGACGUGAAAUCCCCCGGCUUAACCUGGGAACUGCGUCUGAUACUGGAGGGCUUGAGUAUGGGAGAGGGAUGUAGAAUUCCAGGUGUAGCGGUGAAAUGCGUAGAUAUCUGGAGGAAUACCGGUGGCGAAGGCGGCAUCCUGGACCAUUACUGACGCUGAGACGCGAAAGCGAGGGGAGCAAACAGG